rnacentral:rRNA from 1 species
UACGAAGGGGGCUAGCGUUGCUCGGAAUCACUGGGCGUAAAGCGCACGUAGGCGGAUCUUUAAGUCAGGGGUGAAAUCCUGGAGCUCAACUCCAGAACUGCCUUUGAUACUGGGGAUCUCGAGUCCGGAAGAGGUGAGUGGAACUCCGCGUGUAGAGGUGAAAUUCGUAGAUAUUCGGAAGAACACCAGUGGCGAAGGCGGCUCACUGGUCCGGUACUGACGCUGAGGUGCGAAAGCGUGGGGAGCAAACAGG